AUACCCUGGUAGUCCACGAAAUGUGCGGUGCGAACUGGAGGUUGGGUGCAAUUUGGCACGCAGUAUCGAAGCUAACGCGUUAAGUUCGCCGCCUGGGGAGUACGGUCGCAAGACUGAAACUCAAAGGAAUUGACGGGGGCCCGCACAAGCGGUGGAGUAUGUGGUUUAAUUCGAUGCAACGCGAAGAACCUUACCUGGUCUUGACAUCCACGGAACUUUCCAGAGAUGGAUUGGUGCCUUCGGGAACCGUGAGACAGGUGCUGCAUGGCUGUCGUCAGCUCGUGUCGUGAGAUGUUGGGUUAAGUCCCGCAACGAGCGCAACCCUUGUCCUUAGUUGCCAGCACGUAAUGGUGGGAACUCUAAGGAGACCGCCGGUGACAAACCGGAAGAAGGUGGGGAUGACUUUAAGUCAUCAUGGC
rnacentral:rRNA from 1 species